rnacentral:rRNA from 1 species
UACAGAGGGUGCAAACGUUGUUCGGAAUUACUGGGCGUAAAGGGCUCGUAGGCGGCCAACUAAGUCAGACGUGAAAUCCCCAGGCUCAACCUGGGAACUGCGUCUGAUACUGGAUGGCUUGAAUCCGGGAGAGGGAUGCAGAAUUCCAGGUGUAGCGGUGAAAUGCGUAGAUAUCUGGAGGAAUACCGGUGGCGAAGGCGGCAUCCUGGACCGGCAUUGACGCUGAGGAGCGAAAGCCAGGGGAGCAAACGGG